CCCCGGGGGAGCUCAGCUACUGGAGGGUACCAGCUUGAGAGCAGCAGAAAUGAGGCAUCUUGCUGGUGUCGAGCCUCCAUGGGACCACAGAACCCAGGAGCUGGGGCUUUAAUGCAAGCACCACGUAUCCCAAAGGUGCCAGUGCUACACAUAGCCACACCACGCUUCUAUAGACCAGAAGGCGGGGAAGAAUUUGGUGGAUGCAAUAGCCUGGUGCCUUAUUUUUAGCAUGAAGCUGUGGAGCAGCAGUGGUUUGAGUUCUGGUUGCCACUUCCCUUUCGGUGUUUGCACCCAGGAAAAUAAAAACCUGUGAGAUAGACUAAGGUGCUGUCACCCCGUGCUCUUGAAGACUUCACUAGCACCCAGCAACCAGAUGAAGGACAGACUCCUUCCAAACCCAGCAUGGAAAUCAGGCAGGUGACCCCACAACAUGGAGAGUUUUGUGCUGGUUUUGUGGGUCCACAAUGACGGGAGAUGAAGCUAAAGACAAAGGGCUUUUUAUUUUUCCCACCAGCCGCAGCAGGAUUCAAAAACCCAGCUCCGAACACCAAAAACCCCACAAUCCCAAAGACGUAUAGGGCAUUCCCUUGCCAAGCACCUUCCCCCAGCAUCCCUGCACCGUGCUGACGUGGAUCACGCGCUCCCAGUGCAGCCCUCCUGCCAUAGCAGGGCUGUGGGGAUGGAGGUUGAUGGGAGGGCUUAAUUAAUCAGUUAAUUAAUCCCAAACAUUUUAACCCUCCAAAUCUCUGCUGC